rnacentral:rRNA from 1 species
GACGAACGCUGGCGGCGUGCUUAACACAUGCAAGUCGAACGGGAUUUAGUAGACAGAAGCUUCGGUGGAAGAUUACUAAUGAGAGUGGCGAACGGGUGAGUAACGCGUGAGCAACCUGCCUAUGACAGUGGGAUAGCCUCGGGAAACCGGGAUUAAUACCGCAUAAAAUCGUAGAAACACAUGUUUUAACGGUCAAAGAUUUAUCGGUCAUAGAUGGGCUCGCGUCUGAUUAGCUAGUUGGUGAGAUAACAGCCCACCAAGGCGACGAUCAGUAGCCGGUCUGAGAGGAUGAACGGCCACAUUGGAACUGAGACACGGUCCAAACUCCUACGGGAGGCAGCAGUAAGGAAUAUUGCGCAAUGGGGGAAACCCUGACGCAGCAACGCCGCGUGGAGGAUGACACUUUUCGGAGCGUAAACUCCUUUUAUCAGGAAAGAAUAAUGACGGUACCUGAUGAAUAAGCACCGGCUAACUCCGUGCCAGCAGCCGCGGUAAUACGGGGGGUGCAAGCGUUACUCGGAAUCACUGGGCGUAAAGGACGCGUAGGCGGAUUAUCAAGUCUUUUGUGAAAUCUAGUGGCUUAACCACUAAACUGCUUAGGAAACUGAUAGUCUAGAGUAGGGGAGAGGUAGAUGGAAUUCUUGGUGUAGGGGUAAAAUCCGUAGAGAUCAAGAAGAAUACCCAUUGCGAAAGCGAUCUGCUGGAACCUAACUGACGCUGAGGCGUGAAAGCGUGGGUAGCAAACAGG